rnacentral:rRNA from 1 species
GUUNUGAACUGGGUGACUAGAGUGUGUCAGAGGGAGGUAGAAUUCCACGUGUAGCAGUGAAAUGCGUAGAGAUGUGGAGGAAUACCGAUGGCGAAGGCAGCCUCCUGGGAUAACACUGACGUCCAUGCCCGAAAGCGUGGGUAGCAANCAGGAUUAGAUACCCUGGUANUCCACGCCCUAAACGAUGUCGAUUAGCUGUUGGGCAGCAUGACUGCUUAGUAGCGAAGCUAACGCGUGAAAUCGACCGCCUGGGGAGUACGGUCGCAAGAUUAAAACUCAAAGGAAUUGACGGGGACCCGCACAAGCGGUGGAUGAUGUGGAUUAAUUCGAUGCAACGCGAAGAACCUUACCUGGUCUUGACAUGUACGGAACCCUCCAGAGUCGGAGGGGUGCCUUCGGGAGCCGUAACACAGGUGCUGCAUGGCUGUCGUCAGCUCGUGUCGUGAGAUGUUGGGUUAAGUCCCGCAACGAGCGCAACCCUUGUCAUUAGUUGCCAUCAUUAAGUUGGGCACCCUAAUGAGACUGCCGGUGACAAGCCGGAGGAAGGUGGGGAUGACGUCAAGUCCUCAUGGCCCUUAUGACCAGGGCUUCACACGUCAUACAAUGGUCGGUACAGAGGGUAGCCAAGCCGCGAAGUGGAGCCAAUCUCACAAAACCGAUCGUAGUCCGGAUUGCACUCUGCAACUCGAGUGCAUGAAGUCGGAAUCGCUAGUAAUCGCAGGUCAGCAUACUGCGGUGAAUACGUUCCCGGGUCUUGUACACACCGCCCGUCACACCAUGGGAGUGGGGGAUACCUGAAGU